rnacentral:rRNA from 1 species
CCUACGGGAGGCUGCAGUGGGGAAUAGUGCACAAUGGGGGAAACCCUGAUGCAGCGACGCAGCGUGAGUGAAGAAGUAUUUCGGUAUGUAAAGCUCUAUUAGCAGGGAAGAAAAAGACGGUACCUGAGUAAGAAGCCCAGGCUAACUACGUGCCAGCAGCCGCGGUAAUACGAAGGGGGCAAGCGUUAUCCGGAUUUACUGGGUGUAAAGGGAGCGUAGAUGGUGGUGCAAGUCAGUAGUGAAAGUCCGGGGCUCAACUAUGGAACUGCUAUUGAAACGGUGUGAUUGGAGUGCAGGUGAGGUAAGCGGAAUUCGUGGUGUAGCGGUGAAAUGCUUAGAUAUCAGGAGGAACACCAAUGGCGAAGGCAGCUUACUGAACUGUGACUGACGUUGAUGCUCGAAAGUGUGGGGAUCAAACAGGAUUAGAUACCCCAGUAGUC